AAGGUUGUUACAUUAAUAAAAUCAAAUCAGCAUCUUUUAGCUAAGCUUGUGAUGGAUUUGCUUUUUUUCUGAUAAAACUG
ensembl:snoRNA